UACGGGGGGAGCAAGCGUUGUUCGGAUUUACUGGGCGUAAAGGGCGCGUAGGCGGUCGUGACAAGUCACUUGUGAAAUCUCCGGGCUUAACUCGGAACGGUCAAGUGAUACUGUCGGACUAGAGUACAGAAGGGGCAACUGGAAUUCUCGGUGUAGCGGUGAAAUGCGUAGAUAUCAGGAGGAACACCGAUUGCGAAGGCAGCUCGCUGGGACGUCACUGACGCUGAGACGCGAAAGCGUGGGGAGCAAACAGG
rnacentral:rRNA from 1 species